rnacentral:rRNA from 1 species
UACAGAGGUCCCAAGCGUUGUUCGGAUUCAUUGGGCGUAAAGGGUGCGUAGGCGGCGCGGUAAGUCGGGUGUGAAUCCCGGAGCUCAACUUCGGAACUGCCUUUGAUACAGCACAUCUGGAGUCCGGAAGAGGUGGGUGGAAUUCCUAGUGUAGAGGUGAAAUUCGUAGAUAUUAGGAAGAACACCGGUGGCGAAGGCGGCCCACUGGUCCGGUACUGACGCUGAGGUGCGAAAGCGUGGGGAGCA